UUUUUUUUUUUUUUUACUUUUUAAACAUUUUUUUUGUGAAAAACUAAAGCACAAACACACACAUUAGCCUAGGCCUACACAGACUCAGGAUCAUCAAUACCCCUGUGUCCCACCUUGACAUCUUCUCCCACUGGAAGGUCUUCAGGGACAAUAACAUGCAUGGAGCUGUCAUCUCCUAUGAUAACGAUGCCUUCUUCUGGAUAUCUUUUGAAGGACCUGCCUGAGGCUGUUUUACAGUUAACCUCUAUUUUAUAAGUAGAAGGUGUACACUCUAAAGUAUGAUUAAAAAUAAAUACGUAAACCAGUAACAUAGUUGUUCAUUACUAUUAUCAAGUAUUAUAUAUGUUACAUAAUUGUUUAUGUUGCAUAAUUGUAUGUGUUACACUUUUAUAUGACUAUGACUGGCAGCACAGUACAUUUGUUUACACUAACAUCACAGAUUUGAAUAAUGUGCUACCACAUUACAACAGAUACAAAGUCAUUAGGUGAUAGGAAUUUUUCAGCCCUAUUAUAAUCUUAUGGGACCACCAUUGUAAAUGCAGUUCAUUGUUGACCACAACAUAGCAAAAAAGUGCAUUACUCCUUUCAGUAUGUAGUUUACAAGACUCGAGCCUGGUUUAUAGAUGGUUCUAUAUGAUAUGCAAGGACCACCUGAAAGUGGACAGCUCUAGCACUGCGUCUCUUCUCCAGGUCAUCCCUGAAGGACACUGUUGGACCAAAAUUUUCCCAGCUGGCAAAACAUCUUGUUAUGCACCUAGUUGUGCACAUUGCUUGGAAAGAGAAACAGUCAGAUGUGAGAUUAAAUUCCAAUUAAUGGGCUAUAGCCAAUGGUUUGGUUGGAUGGUCAGGGCCUAGGAAGGAAUAUGAUUGAAAAAUAAGUGGUAAAGAAAUCUGGGGAAAAAGUAUGUGGAGAGACCUCUCAACAGACCAAAACCCCCCAAAACCCAUGAAGAUACAUGUGUCCUAUAUAAAUGCUCAACAAUAGGUAGACUCAGCAGAUGAAGAUUUUAAUAAUCAAGUGAGUAGGAUGACCCUUUCUAAGAAUAUCAGUGAGAUUUUCCCUGGUCAGCCCUGUCACCGCCCAAUGGACUCAUGAAAAACGUGGCUGUGGUGGGAGAGAUAUAGGUUAUGCAUGGACUCAGCAACAUAGACUUCUGCCCACCAAGGCUGACCUGAAUAUGGCCACUGCCGAGUGACCAAUCUACCAGCAGCAGAGACCAACACAGAACCCCUGGUAAUGUCACAGUUUCUUGGGGAGAUCAGCCAGCUACCAGGUGGCAGAUUGGUUAUAUGGGAUCACUUCCAUCAUGGAAGGGGCAGCCUUACUGACUAGACACUCUGGAUAUGGGUUUACAAGUUUGCUUUCUUUGCAAUGUUUCUGACAAAACUACCAUCUAUUUACUUGCAAAAUGCCUUAUCUAUUAUCACGGUUCUUCACACAGCAUCAUUUCUGAUCAAUGAACACACUACAGCAAAAGAAGAAUGAUAGUGAGCCCAUGCUCAUAAAAUUCAUUGGUCUUACCAUGUUCCCCAUCAUCCUGAAGCAGGUGGCUUGAUAGAACAGUGAAAUGGCCUAUUGAAGACUCAAUUACAGUGCCAGCUAGGUGCAAUAUAUUGCAGAGCUGGAGCAAGAUUCUUCAGGAGGCUGUAUAUGCUCUGAAUCAUCAUUCAAUGUAAAGUGCUGUUUCUCCAACAGCUAGGUCCAGAAUCAGUGGGGAAAUGGGAGUGGCAUCAUUCACCAUCACCUCUAGAGGCUCACCAAAAAAGUUUUGUUCCCUGUUCUCAAGAAUUUAUGCUCUGCUGGUCUAGAGGUCUUAGUUCCAGAGGGAAGAAUGCUUCCACCAGGGGACGCAACAAUAAUUUCAUUGAACUGGAAAUUAAGACCAACACUAGACCACUUUCAACUUCUAAUGCUUCUGAGUCAACAGGCCUAGAAGAGAGUUGUGGUGUUGACUGAGGUUAUUGAUACAGUCUGUCAAGGGAAAUGGACUACCACUCCACAAUGGUAGUAAGUAGGAGAAUGCGUGAAACACAGGAGAUCCCUUAAGGUGUCUCUUAAUAUUAUCAUGCCCUGUUAUUAAAGUGAGUGAAAAUUACAACAACCCAACUAGGCAGGACUACUCAUGCCUCAAAACAUUAUUACUUUUUGUCUGUGAGGGAGUUUCUGGAAGAGAUUAGCAUUUAAAUCAGUAUACUGAAUAAAGAAGAUCAGCCUCAACAAUGUGGGCAGACAUCAUCCAAUCCGUUUGGGGCCCAAAUAGAAUACAAGCACAAGGUAGGGGGAAGGGUAAAACUGCUCUCUUUGAGCUGGAACAUCAUCUUUUCUGCGCUCAGAUGCUUCUGGUUUUCAGGCCUUCAUAUUUGGGC
ensembl:lncRNA